rnacentral:rRNA from 1 species
CCCUUAGAUGUUCUGGGCCGCACACGCGCUACACUGAAGGAGGCAGCGUGUACUCCUGGAUCGAAAGAUUUGGGUAACCCGCGAAUCUCCUUCGUGCUAGGGAUUGAGGUUUGCAAUUAUCCUUCAUGAACGAGGAAUUCCCAGUAAGUGCAAGUCAUAAGCUUGCGCUGACUACGUCCCUGCCCUUUGUACACACCGCCCGUCGCUACUACCGAUUGAAUGAUUGAGUGAGGACUUCGGACUGGGACCGAUGCGGCUUUCGGGCUGCGUCGGUAUUCUGGAAAGAUGUCCAAACUGUAUCAUUUAGAGGAAGUAAAAGUCGUAACA